UACGGAGGUGGCAAGCGUUGUUCGGAAUUACUGGGCGUAAAGGGCUCGUAGGCGGCCAACUAAGUCAGACGUGAAAUCCCUCGGCUUAACCGGGGAACUGCAUCUGAUACUGGAUGGCUUGAGAUUGGGAGAGGGAUGCGGAAUUCCAGGUGUAGCGGUGAAAUGCGUAGAUAUCUGGAGGAACACCGGUGGCGAAGGCGGCAUCCUGGACCAACACUGACGCUGAGGAGCGAAAGCCAGGGGAGCAAACGGG
rnacentral:rRNA from 1 species